UGGGGAAUAUUGGACAAUGGGCGAAAGCCUGAUCCAGCCAUGCCGCGUGUGUGAAGAAGGUCUUCGGAUUGUAAAGCACUUUAAGUUGGGAGGAAGGGCCAUUACCUAAUACGUGAUGGUUUUGACGUUACCGACAGAAUAAGCACCGGCUAACUCUGUGCCAGCAGCCGCGGUAAUACAGAGGGUGCAAGCGUUAAUCGGAAUUACUGGGCGUAAAGCGCGCGUAGGUGGUUUGUUAAGUUGGAUGUGAAAUCCCCGGGCUCAACCUGGGAACUGCAUUCAAAACUGACUGACUAGAGUAUGGUAGAGGGUGGUGGAAUUUCCUGUGUAGCGGUGAAAUGCGUAGAUAUAGGAAGGAACACCAGUGGCGAAGGCGACCACCUGGACUGAUACUGACACUGAGGUGCGAAAGCGUGGGGAGCAAACAGGAUUAGAUACCCAUGUAGUCCCUGAGCGGGCUGGCAAGGCGCAU
rnacentral:rRNA from 1 species